rnacentral:tRNA from 1 species
AUUUAUCUAGUAUAAUGUAUAUUUGACUUCCAAUCAAAAGGACUGAACAUAAAUUCAGGAUAAAUA